AGUCUGUUGAUGAGUCUCAAAAUGGGACGAAACACGCGUCCUGAAU
rfam:Schistosoma mansoni strain Puerto Rico chromosome 1, complete genome